GAAUCCUUAAUAACUAUUAAUUUGCAUGGCACAAUCUAGCAUAGAGUAGACUUAUUUAGUCUUUCAUUUCUCUAUGGUGUAAAAAAUUAGUAAAGUAGCCUCUAUACUCUUGUGACUUGAGCAACUCUCCCUCCUUCUUCGUCAUUUUCUCCGCUUUUUAGGAUUUAUCUUUGCCGCUCGUCGGCCUCCCCUUCCCUAAAGAGCAGAAAAGAUUUAUGCUAAAAGUGAGGGUAUUUGAUUAGUGCCUACAUGUCCUUUGCUCUUCUCCAUGCCGAAAUUCUCCUUCCCAGUUCGGCCAUGGCUACGGUUUUCUAUGCUUAGGAGGUUUUAAAGGGAGCAGAGAAUGUAUCUCGGGGACCGCUGCCAUUGGGAAGGCAUCGAUUCCUUAACGACUAUAAGUAGAAGCCAAGGGUAUGCUAAGCCUAAUUGGAUUUCGACUUCUGUGAUUCUGGGCUUGUUGAAGUUUGAUGAUGGUUUCUAGUAGCGACUCUGCUCCUUUUUAAUUUGGGUUUCUGUCUCAAGUGUGGAUCUUCUCUUGGCUUGCUUGUUUCUGUCGUGAUAUUUUUCUAGUCAUGCAUAUUGUUCCCCGCUCCUAGAUAUGCAUCGUGAUGGUUUUUUGGUGAUGAGUAUUGCAGUUCCGAGAGAUCAUAGGUUGCUGACGGCAUUAUGGGUUCGUGGUACUGGCGAUGUCGGUUUGUGGAACCGAAUCCCGUGACCGGAUUGAAGCUUUGAGUCGGGUCCUUAUUGAGUUUUAGGGUUUGAUUAUGUAAUGGGCUAAAACCCUGUUUCUUUGGACCUUUGCUAGUUUCUUAUUUUUUUUGAGCUUCUAGGCCCUAUGAUGUAUAUAUACCCAUUUGAUUUGUAACCUUUAAUCCUUGGUAAUAAUAAAAAAAAAAAGUAAAAUCUCA